UACGUAGGGUCCGAGCGUUGUCCGGAAUUACUGGGCGUAAAGCGCGCGCAGGCGGCCCGCUAGGUGUCACGUGAAAGCCCCGGGCUUAACCUGGGAAUUGCAUUUGAUACUCUGGAGCUUGAGUGUGGGAGAGGAGAGUGGAAUUCCCAGUGUAGCGGUGAAAUGCGUAGAUAUCGGGAGGAACACCUGUGGCGAAAGCGGCUCACUGGACCAUAACUGACGCUGAUGCACGAAAGCUGGGGGAGCAAACAGG
rnacentral:rRNA from 1 species